AAGAGCCCAGCGCUAAAGCUUGCUGCUCUAACGGGUAGCGAGCGGUGUAGCGUAUAGCAGGCGAUUUUCCUUGAUGGCUGUCGACUUAAAUUCUCCUUGACUGGGGUUCCAGAGAAGGUGAAAGGCCUGUUCAGUCGAUGGCCGUCUUGGAUUCCGUUCUGCUUGAGUCGGGUUGUUUGGGAACGCAGCCCAAAUUUGGUGGUAAACUUCAUCUAAGGCUAAAUACGGCCACGAAACCGAUAGCAAACAAGUACCGUGAGGGAAAGUUGAAAAGUACUUUGAAGAGAGAGUUCAAGAGGACGUGAAACCGGUAGGAUGGAAACGGAUAGAGCCAACGAACAAGCCCGUAUUCAGCUAGUCGGCUGCGUGCGGCAUGCCUGUGUGCUCGUUCAGGGUGCAUGGGUGUGUGCGGUAUGCGGUUGGCUAGUGCAUUUGCGGGUGAUGUGCGCUGAGGCGUGUGGUGGAGUCCUGCAAACUGUCUGGAGAGGCCUUGCCUUCGGGUAAGAAACCUACAGGCGGGGAGUAGGGUUUCUGCUGCAUGUAGCAUAUACGGUCAGGUGAACACGCGCUGCUGUAUUGCCGGGCUGAUUGCUUGGUCGGUCGCAUGCGACUAGGCCUUGUCAGUUGGUCUUGGUGGUGCGGUAGUGCCCUGUCCGGUCCUCGGUGUAAAAGUUGGUCAUCUCUCCGACCCGUCUUGAAACACGGACCAAGGAGUCUAGCGUAUACGCGAGUCAUUGGGUGGAAAACCCAUAGGCGUAAUGAAAGUGAAGGUCUCUUUAUGAGGCUGAUAUGCGAUCCGYUGCACUACGGUGUACGCGGAGCAGCAUAGCCCCGUCUCGACUGCUUGCAGUGGGGCGGAGGUAGAGCGUAUUCGCUGGUACCCGAAAGAUGGUGAACUAUCCUGAGCAGGAUGAAGCCAGAGGAAACUCUGGUGGAGGUCCGAAGCGCUU
rnacentral:rRNA from 1 species